rnacentral:rRNA from 1 species
CGGGGUGAGUAACGCGUGGGUAACCUGCCUCAUACAGGGGGAUAGCAGCUGGAAACGGCUGGUAAUACCGCAUAAGCGCACAGUACCACAUGGUACAGUGUGAAAAGCUCCGGUGGUAUGAGAUGGACCCGCGUCUGAUUAGCUAGUUGGCGGGGUAACGGCCCACCAAGGCGACGAUCAGUAGCCGACCUGAGAGGGUGACCGGCCACAUUGGGACUGAGACACGGCCCAG